CGAUUAAGCCAUGCAAGUCAAGGUGUCUUCGGACGCCGGCGUACGGCUCAGUAACACGUAGGUAACCUACCCUCAGGACUGAGAUAACCCCGGGAAACUGGGGCUAAUAUUAGAUAGAUAAAAGGUACUGGAAUGUUCUUUUAUCCAAAGCUUUUGCGCCUGAGGAUGGGCCUGCGUCCGAUUAGGUUGUUGGUGGGGUAAUGGCCCACCAAGCCUGCGAUCGGUACGGGCAGUGAGAGCUGAAGCCCGGAGUUGGGGACUGAGACAAGGCCCCAGGCCCUACGGGGCGCAGCAGGCGCGAAACCUCUGCAAUGCGGGAAACCGUGACAGGGGGAUCCCAAGUGCUCAUGCACUGCAUGGGCUGUUCUUUGGUCUAAGUAACCAGAGGAGUAAGGGCUGGGCAAGACCGGUGCCAGCCGCCGCGGUAAUACCGGCAGCUCAAGUGGUAGCCGCGAUUAUUGGGCCUAAAGCGUUCGUAGCCGGAUAAGUAAGUCUUUGGUUAAAUCCUACAACUCAACUGUGGGAAAUCUAGGGAUACUACUUGUCUUGAGACCGGGAGAGGUUAGAGGUACUCCUAGGGUAGGGGUGAAAUCCUGUAAUCCUAGGGGGACCACCUGUGGCGAAGGCGUCUAACUGGAACGGGUCUGACGGUGAGGGACGAAACCUAGGGGAGCGAGCCGGAUUAGAUACCCGGGUAGUCCUAGGCGUAAAUGAUGCGAGUUAAGUGUGGGGACAUCUACGAGAUGGCCCUGUGCUGUAGGGUAGCCGUUAAACUCGCCGCCUGGGGAGUACGGUCGCAAGGCUGAAACUUAAAGGAAUUGGCGGGGGAGCA
rnacentral:rRNA from 1 species